rnacentral:rRNA from 1 species
UGGGGAAUCAUGGUCAAUGGGCGAAAGCCUGAACCUGCGACGCCGCGUGAGUGAUGAAGGUCGUAAGAUCGUAAAACUCUUUUCAGGGAUCUUAAAGCCUGUCUGUCAACAACAGGCAGGUCUGACUCUCCCUGGAAGAAGCCCCAGCCAACUCCGUGCCAGCAGCUGCGGUAAUACGUAGGGGGCGAGCGUUAUUCGGAAUUACUGGGUGUAAAGGGUAUGUAGGCGGCCCUUCAAGUCGGGGGUCAAAGUCCAGUGCUCAACGCUGGGUGUGCACGCGAUACUGACGGGCUUGAGGGCUGGAGAGGUGAGCGGAAUUCCCGGUGUAGUGGUAAAAUACGUAGAGAUCGGGAGGAACACCAGCGGCGCAGGCGGCUCACUAGACAGUUUCUGACGCUAAGAUACGAAAGCGUGGGGAGCAAACA